GAUGAACGCUAGCGAUAGGCUUAACACAUGCAAGUCGAGGGGCAGCACAAGGUAGCUUGCUCUCUGGGUGGCGACCGGCGCACGGGUGCGUAACGCGUAUGCAACUUGCCCUAUACAGGAGGAUAACCCGUCGAAAGACGGACUAAUACUGCGUAUGCUCACAACUUGGCAUCAAGUGGUGAGGAAAGAAAUUCGGUAUAGGAUAGGCAUGCGUCCCAUUAGCUUGUUGGUGAGGUAACGGCUCACCAAGGCAACGAUGGGUAGGGGAACUGAGAGGUUUAUCCCCCACACUGGUACUGAGACACGGACCAGACGCCUACGGGAGGCAGCAGUGAGGAAUAGUGGUCAAUGGGCGCGAGCCUGAACCAGCCAAGUCGCGUGAAGGAUGACUGUCUUAUGGAUUGUAAACUUCUUUUAGACGGGAAUAACAAGAGUCACGGGUGACUCCCUGCAUGUACCGGAUGAAUAAGCAUCGGCUAACUCCGUG
rnacentral:rRNA from 1 species